GACGAACGCUGGCGGCGCGCCUAACACAUGCAAGUCGAACGGAGUUGUGUUGAAAGCUUGCUGGAUAUACAACUUAGUGGCGGACGGGUGAGUAACACGUGAGUAACCUGCCUCUCAGAGUGGAAUAACGUUUGGAAACGAACGCUAAUACCGCAUAACGUGAGAAGAGGGCAUCCUCUUUUUACCAAAGAUUUAUCGCUGAAAGAUGGGCUCGCGUCUGAUUAGCUAGUUGGUGGGGUAACGGCCUACCAAGGCGACGAUCAGUAGCCGGACUGAGAGGUUGAACGGCCACAUUGGGACUGAGAUACGGCCCAG
rnacentral:rRNA from 1 species